rnacentral:tRNA from 1 species
GGUACCUUGGCCGAGUGGUUAGGCACUGGUCUGCAAAACCAGGUACAGCAGUCCGAUUCUGCUAGGUACCU